UGUUCGUUUGUUUGUUUGCCUGUCUGUUUGUUUAUGAUCUCUGCUGGUGGGUCUCAGUCUGUGUUUUAGUGAGUUCUAAGUCUCUGAGUUAUUCUCUUUGUAUGUCAGUCGGUUCGUCCUCAGUCCAUCAGUGAGGCUCUCCAUUGCUCUGUCUAUCUGCCAGUCAGCUAAGUCCAUUUGGGAACUCUUCCCUUGGCUCAUGUGGACGUUCAUGUUGGUGCAUUGGAAGCUUUCUAGCUGUUGUUAGAGAACAAGCAGCUGACGGUGCACACAUUCCAUUCAAUGCUUUUUCCUACUGUGUUAAAUGGAUUGGAGAGCAGAGAGAGAGUCGUCUCUUCAGCGUGGGUCAAGACUCUGUUGGUUGUUGUGAGCAGCUACAGUUCUGAUAUG